UACGUAGGGUGCAAGCGUUGUCCGGAAUUAUUGGGCGUAAAGAGCUCGUAGGCGGCCUGUUGCGUCCGCUGUGAAAUCCCGGGGCUUAACCCCGGGCCUGCAGUGGAUACGGGCAGGCUGGAGGCAGGCAGGGGAGAACGGAAUUCCCGGUGUAGCGGUGAAAUGCGCAGAUAUCAGGAGGAACACCAAUGGCGAAGGCAGCUCACUGGGACGGUAUUGACGCUGAGACGCGAAAGCGUGGGGAGCAAACAGG
rnacentral:rRNA from 1 species